AACGAACGCUGGCGGCAUGCCUAACACAUGCAAGUCGAACGAGACCUUCGGGUCUAGUGGCGCACGGGUGCGUAACGCGUGGGAACCUGCCCUUAGGUUCGGAAUAACUCCCCGAAAGGGGUGCUAAUACCGGAUAAUUUCUUCGGACCAAAGAUUUAUCGCCUUUGGAUGGGCCCGCGUUGGAUUAGCUAUUUGGUAGGGUAAAAGCCUACCAAGGCGACGAUCCAUAGCUGGUCUGAGAGGAUGAUCAGCCACACUGGGACUGAGACACGGCCCAGACUCCUACGGGAGGCAGCAGUGGGGAAUAUUGGACAAUGGGCGAAAGCCUGAUCCAGCAAUGCCGCGUGAGUGAUGAAGGCCUUAGGGUUGUAAAGCUCUUUUAACCGGGAUGAUAAUGACAGUACCGGGAGAAUAAGCGCCGGCUAACUCCGUG
rnacentral:rRNA from 1 species